UGGGCGAAAGCCUGAUCCAGCCAUGCCGCGUGUGUGAAGAAGGUCUUCGGAUCGUAAAGCACUUUAAGUUGGGAGGAAGGGCAGUUACCUAAUACGUGAUUGUUUUGACGUUACCGACAGAAUAAGCACCGGCUAACUCUGUGCCAGCAGCCG
rnacentral:rRNA from 1 species